UACGGAGGAUGCAAGCGUUAUCCGGAUUCAUUGGGUUUAAAGGGUGCGUAGGUGGGUUUGUAAGUCAGUGGUGAAAUAUUGUCGCUUAACGAUAAGGUUGCCAUUGAUACUGCAGGUCUUGAGUUUGGUUGAGGUAGGCGGAAUGUGCAGUGUAGCGGUGAAAUGCAUAGAGAUUGCACAGAACUCCGAUUGCGAAGGCAGCUUACUAAGCCAAAACUGACGCUGAGGCACGAAAGUGUGGGGAUCAAACAGGAUUAGA
rnacentral:rRNA from 1 species